AUUGAACGCUGGCGGAAUGCUUUACACAUGCAAGUCGAACGAUGAACCUUAGCUUGCUAAGGGGAUUAGUGGCGAACGGGUGAGUAAUAUAUCGGAACGUGCCUUGUAAUGGGGGAUAACUAGUCGAAAGAUUAGCUAAUACCGCAUACGCCCUGAGGGGGAAAGUAGGGGAUCUUCGGACCUUACGUUAUAAGAGCGGCCGAUAUCUGAUUAGCUAGUUGGUGGGGUAAUGGCCUACCAAGGCGACGAUCAGUAGCUGGUCUGAGAGGACGACCAGCCACACUGGAACUGAGACACGUUCCAGCCUCCUACGGGAGGCAGCAGUGGGGAAUUUUGGACCAUGGGCGCAAGCCUGAUCCAGCCAUUCCGCGUGAGUGCAGAAGGCCUUCGGGUUGUAAAGCUCUUUCGCAAGGGAAGAAAACUUACCAUCGAAUAAAUGGUGAGGCUGACGGUACCUUGAUAAGAAGCACCGGCUAACUACGUG
rnacentral:rRNA from 1 species